rnacentral:tRNA from 1 species
GGAAGCUAACUUAGUAGAAGCGCCGCGCUGAAGACGCGGAGGAUCUCGAGCGUAACGAGACCCAGGCACCAAUAAAGGGGUGGGCAGCGGACUGCGGCUGAUCCUUGCAAGAUCGGCCUCGAGGGUUCGACUCCCUCUCACUCCACCA